rnacentral:rRNA from 1 species
UGGGGAAUAUUGCACAAUGGGGGAAACCCUGAUGCAGCGACGCCGCGUGAACGAAGAAGGUAUUCGUAUCGUAAAGUUCUGUCCUAUGGGAAGAUAAUGACAGUACCAUAGAAGAAAGCUCCGGCUAAAUACGUGCCAGCAGCCGCGGUAAUACGUAUGGAGCGAGCGUUGUCCGGAAUUAUUGGGCGUAAAGGGUACGCAGGCGGUUUAAUAAGUAGAAUGUUAAAGAUCGGGGCUCAACCCCGCAAAGCAUUGGAAACUGAUAAACUUGAGUAGUGGAGAGGAAAGUGGAAUUCCUAGUGUAGUGGUGAAAUACGUAGAUAUUAGGAGGAAUACCAGUAGCGAAGGCGACUUUCUGGACACAAACUGACGCUGAGGUACGAAAGCGUGGGGAGCAAACAGG